rnacentral:rRNA from 1 species
GCGCCAAAAAGCUAGCCCGCCCACCAAACUAACAACCAAACAUAAAUAACCCCUAAUACCCCAAACUAAAACAAAACAAACCAUUUUCCCAUCCUAGUAUGAGCGACAGAAAAG